GGAUGUGAGGACCAUCUGGAUGUGACAUCUGUUAUUCCAUUGACUAGCAGGAUUGAUGUGGAUGAUUUGAUUGGCUAAGGCUUUCCCUUCCUCCCUCACUAUCUAUGUUCAUUUUUCCCAAAGCUGUAUGCUUACUUAAGGAGGAUUACUUUCCUAAUUAGGAGAGGACUGGGCUUUAAUUAAGGGCAUAGGAGUAUUUGCAAUUCCUUGGGAAGAACAUCCAAACAAGUUAUCAAGAAAUACUGUGCUGAAUUAAAUCUUAAAUAUCUCCCAGAUAGUCACACUGCACAAGCAUGAUGCUUAUGGUGGUUCUAU
rnacentral:snRNA from 1 species